GGGUCAGUAGGUUGGUCGUGCCACCGGUACGUACUGGUCUCACUGAUUCCUCCUUCCUGAAGAACCGUAAUGCCAUUAAUUUGGUGUUGCGGGGAAACAGGACUGUUCCUUUGAAAAAAUUAGAGUGUUUAAAGCAAGCUAACGCUUGAAUACAUUAGCAUGGAAUAAUGAAAUAGGACGAUCGAUCCUAUUUUGCUGGUUUCUAGGAUUGACGUA
rnacentral:rRNA from 1 species